AGAAAGUUGCAGCACAAAAAGCCUACCUUUUACUAAAUAAGACAGGCAUGUUUCCUAAGUGCUCUCUCCAAAUACCAGGUUGCAGUUUUGUAAGAACAUUUCAUCCUCCAGUUUAUAUGACAUUUCCACUAAAUAUAACAUAUCAAAUCCCACCAAACCUUCUGUUACGGUUGGCUCUCCAAACUGGUGGUAGCACCCAAGGUCAAUGAAAAUGAUCAGUUACCUGUGGUCCUAAAAUGGAGUUGAAUUCGUUGGCCUGAGGAUUCUUGCUGGGAAAAUGAACCCAACUCUAAAUGCAUCACUCUGAGUCAAAGGGUCAACCAGUGAGAAGACAUUACCAAGAAUAUGAUUCGCCACACAGAGCCACUUAGUAGGAACCAAUGCCAGCAUGGCCAAGAUAUGUAAAACUGCUCCUGAAGAUGGGAGGAGAGGCCAGGGCUACAGGCAGAAAGAACAUAAAUUUAAUUAGAAGUCAAAAGGAUCUUCUAUUAAAAGGACCACUGUCUAACAAUGGACAAUGGACUGAAAAUACCCAAGCCUACCACUGAAAACAUUCAAGCAUUGUUUGGUGAUUUUCUAUCAGAAAUGAUAUAAAUGUGAUUCCAGCGGUUAAGGGGAAGUUGACUCCAUUUUCCAAAGAUCCCUUAAAUCCUGGACUCUUGCUUAAAACUAGCAGAGAAAUCAUCAGAAGAUAAAGGUAAGAGUUGAUAUAGUCCAAUGGCACACAAUCUCUGAAAUGAAGAUGAAAAUGUCAAGAACAAAAGAUCUUAAAGGCUGUUGUUCUCACCAUAUGAGAAAACACACCUUUAUAAGACUCCUGGCUCAAUAAUACUGCAGAAAAAUCAGGUCAUGCUGCACUUUAAAAACUCCUAGAUGACCUUUCUGGCCUGUCAAAAUUAGUGGAGAAAAUUUUAAUGAUACUCAGAUCUAUUGAUGUUUUAUGCACUGAACUUUCUUGAAGAAAUCAGGGGACAAUAUACCAUUAUAAAGUUUUAGUUCUACUUCUUCUCUCUUACUGAUCUAAUUUUUGAUCACACAUCUUUUUUUGGAAAUAAAAAUGCUUUAUGAAAU
rnacentral:lncRNA from 1 species